UAACUUACCAGCCCCAGAUCUGUCACAGAUUUGAAUAAGAGAGUUCCAAAAACGACUCCGCUUCAACAGCUUAACAGACAGCUAACCAGCGAGGAAAAACUAAAACUCAUGACAGCUCCGAUGUCAAAUUGGUGCAGCC